GUAAUUUCGCAUCAUGUUAUUAUUAUAUAUACAAUCGUUCAUCUCGAUUACCAUAGGAUUCAUAUAUUAUACAAAUGACACAAUGACAUACAAUUCUAGUGCUAUAUCCUGUAAUACAUGCGUACCCACAGGAUUUGGGGUUACCUAGAACGAGGAUGUGAUAUAAAAUUUCAUAAGCAAGUAAGUCGAUCGUAGUAAGCCAACACCGAGAAGGAUGAGUUGUAUAUCAACUAAAAUAAAUUUGUGGUUUGUACUUAACUUGCGCGCGUGUAAUUACACACUGAUCGUAUUUAUAAUUGUUAUCAAAUACCAAACUGACGGGGUUUCUCUGGGUAAAUUUAUAAAAGUAGUAUGAGUAAAUUUCAGGAGAAGAAUAAAAACCGGAAGGAUACACCCGUAACCUGACACAUGCAAACUCACCAACGUUGCUAACUAAUGAAGAAGUUACACGGAUAUUUCUGCUUCAUUCUGAAAAAAAAAAUAAUAAAAUUGAAUUUAUAGAACAAACGGAGUUAACAGGAUUAAAAAAUCAGAUAUAUCUGCGGAUAUUUAGUUCUUUAAUUUUUUAGGCACUGAUGUCGAUUUCCACGCAUAUUCACCGUAAGGAUGGGAAUUCCAAAUUUUCCACAUUAAUGGAGGGUUUACCUUGAAAGAGUACCUACAAAAAGUCCUGACCGUAGAAGCCUGCCAUUUUUUUACAAUGUUUUUCCAAUAUAACAUUAAACAAUGUGUAUUACAUGACGUAGGAAUUUUUAUUUCAAUAAACUUUAUCAAAUUCUUAUCACAGUUCACUUUUAAUCCAUUGAAAGAAAAUAGUACAUUACGCAACAAGGGAAUAAUCGACUUUUAUUCACGUACCGCAGGACCCUUAUAGAACUUUAUUUCCGACUCAACUCUGGCUACAUUAUUGACUUGAUUAGUGGGACAUUUUUUGCAGUAUUGUGCGUAGAAUUUUUCUGCAAAUGGAUCAGUACCUACGCUGUUGUAUCGUACAGCACGCCUGCCACGAAUUUAGGAAACCGUUUACCGUUUACGAAAACUUAUUUUUUCAACAAUCAACGUUUACCGUAUCAUGCUGAUUCUUCAUUAUCUCAUCGAUAAUUCCAAACUUAUUAUUCACGUAAGAUAAUGCAAAACUGUGGAUGUUGUACGUGACAGUUAACAACGCAACUUGCAAAUCUUUAUUUUACUAACGUCGUUUGCUUAUCUAAUAACCUUCGUUUGAUAAUUGUACCGCAGGUAUUUUUUCAGCUAGACCUCGACCGACGAUGGAAAAUCCCCUGCCUAGAGUGGCACCUCUCCACUGGAAUGGCAAUAGUUUUGUAGGUUCAAGAAGAACUUUCACCUGAACUCCCAGGCUUUCUGACACGAGGAAACUUCGACCUGUUGAUCUCGGUUGACUGACCAGAAUGAAAUCGUUAUCUGCCGAACUUGACUGCAAUUAUCACCGUAACAGUAAUUAUGGAACUAAUGCACUUAUUUUUCUUCUUCCUCCAGCUGGCUAUCUUCUGACGGGAAUGCGGAUGUGCUAAAUCUCAAAACACUUCGUGAUACACCAUCAAUUAUUCCGUCAUGGUUAUUUUCAAAGUUCUUUUAUCACGUCUACGAAUAGCACCUCUAUACACUCUGGACAAGGCAGAAGCAAAAUGUUCGUCAAAAAGUUACGACCAUCGACAUAUAACGGCGAGAGACAUUGAGAAUUUGUUUAAAGCCAUUUCUGGACAUACCUGAGUGCGUGAAAAUUUAGGAGUUACGUCUGGAUACUCUAGAACGGUUGGAAGCAAGACAUUGUAUACAUUUUUACGACUACCUGAAACUGUUGGAAUAAAAAAUUAAGACGACAAGUCAAGUAUUCUCAUAGUAGUUUCAUAGUGAAUUUAUUUAAAUCUACGGGUUCACAAUAUCGACAUGCUGAAUUCAUUAUAUGCUUAAUAUCUAACGUGCUAAAUAUAAUAUAGGUUCUUAGUUAUUUAUUACAUUGAUUGAUGAGACAUAUUUCAAAAGUAUUUACCGAGGCUCAACGAUAUCAAGUCUGGUUUUCUAAUUUGAAAAACCGCGUCAGCUAAUGGUAUGAGUAUAAAAAAGAAAAACGAUAAAAAGGAGAAAAAACAACUAUCAAUACUACUGUUUCACGCAAAGUUGUGUUAGGCAAUUAACAGAAUCAUUUCUUACCGUCGAUAAAGAUUUAGAUAUAUGUAUAUUUAUAUUUCUAUGCAUAUGCAUACGCAUACGAGUAUAAUGGAUAGAUAUUUAUAUAAAUAUAAUCAUGAUAUAGCUCGUCAAGAUCUGUGUAUAAUUCUCUCGCCUACGCUCUACACAAUCAACAGUCAGCGAAUAGAUCAUAAUCCGUAGUAUCAUUACUCGUAAUAAUAUGAGAAUACCAAUUAUUCAUACAUACAGCAAUGAUCAGCCGUCUAGUGAGGAUUAUAUUAACAUCUUGCGUUCUGCCCUCCGCUAAGCGUUAGAUCAAGUCUCUGAAUAAUGCGUUA